UGAUAUUCAAUAAGUGGAAGUCAGGCUGCAAUCAAAUUGUGGAACUGUCUGCAUCAGGGUUUUACUACCAAUUUACCCAGAAAAUAAUCUUUCCCUCAUUCAUUUCACGGGCCAAGUAAGAAAGGAGGAAUGACUUAAUGUAUAAAACACCGUGCUUUAUUCUUAAGGACCUUGGUUUGAGUUCAAUUUGUGGUCCUAACUGAAAUGAGCAGCUCAAUCCCCAAUGAACAGUAGUCCAUAUCGUUGAACUACCACACACAAUUAGGCACAAUUGGCUGUCUCUGCUUAGAAGUUGAAGACUGAUUUAGCACGGAGACUAAAUCACUUCUUUCAGCUGUAAAGUGGGAUGGCCCUUCCUGGGACUCGGUGACAAAAAAGAGCCACCACCAUAUUGUUUCUUUAUUUCAGCGUUUCUCUAGCACAAGAAAAAUAAGGGAUAGGAAAAGCAUCAUUCUCUCAUAAUAAAAGCCAGAUGGCAGCCCUAAUUCGCAGCAAUUCUCUUUUAUUAAGGAGCUAGUAACUACUGUAACUGGCGGAGUGAUGGCAAAAAUCCUGGUGCAGGGAACAAAUGGAUGCUGAUGAAAAGAGAAAGGAAAAAAGAUGGAGAAGAAGAAAAGAAAUGAUGCUGGAAGCUGGCAAAAGCUUUUCUCUCUGAGUUCUGGAGCAGAAGAAACGCUUGCUGGGAAGAAAAGUCUGCAACUGGAGGUACACUGCAGCUCUCCUUUUUUGCUGCUGGAAAGAAGUUAAUAAAUGCAGUCACAAUACAAGGUAUACCAUUCUCAUUCCUUAUUGAUACCAACUAUACUGUGACAAUGAAUUUCAAAGUGCUGCUGAUGUAAACUCUACCUGAAGCCUGUUUGAUCUCAGAUAAGCAUCUUCAUCCCAUUCUUCAUUUCAAGAAAAGAAAAUCUUAGUGCACAGAAACAUAUUCAUUCGCUUUGGGUUCAGUUCAAGAUAAGCCAUGCUUUGCAGAAAACCUAAUUAAUAUCAAUCACAAGGAA
rnacentral:lncRNA from 1 species